CCCGGGCCUUGUACACACCGCCCGUCACACCACGAAAGUCAGCAAUACCCGAAGCCGGUGGCCUAACCCGCAAGGGAGGGAGCCGUCGAAGGUAGGGUCGAUGAUUGGGGUG
rnacentral:rRNA from 1 species